rnacentral:tRNA from 1 species
GUGGAUAUAGCUCAGGGGAAGAGCGCAUGCUUAGCAUGCUCGAGGUCCUGGGUUCAAUCCCCAGUACCUCCA